GCAUCCGUUGUGCAGUGGUUAGCAUAUCUGCUUCCCAUUUCGGUAAAAGCAGGGGGUCGCGGGUUCGAACCCCGCCGGAUGCA